UACGUAGGGUCCAAGCGUUAAUCGGAAUUACUGGGCGUAAAGCGUGCGCAGGCGGUUGUGUAAGCCAGAUGUGAAAUCCCCGGGCUUAACCUGGGAAUGGCAUUUGGGACUGCACGGCUAGAGUACGGCAGAGGAGACUAGAAUUCCUGGUGUAGCAGUGAAAUGCGUAGAUAUUGGGAGGAACACCAGUGGCGAAGGCGGCUCACUGGACUGGUACUGACGCUGAGGCGCGAAAGCGUGGGGAGCAAACAGG
rnacentral:rRNA from 1 species